GGGGAUAUGGCUCAAAUGAUAGAGCAUCUGCCUUGCAAGCACAAAGCCCUGAGUUCAAGCCCAAGUGCCACCA
rnacentral:tRNA from 1 species